GUCCACAGCCAAGCAACCUUGAACAAGCCCGAUCCCAUCUGAUACUGGAAGCUAAGCAGGGUUGGGCCUGGUUAGUACUUGGAUGGGAGACCACCUAAGACCAGGUGCUGUAGGCG
rnacentral:rRNA from 1 species